rnacentral:rRNA from 1 species
ACGAACGCUGGCGGCGUGCUUAACACAUGCAAGUCGAACGAUGAAGAAGAGAAACGCGAACUUCGGUUCAAAUUUCACUUCGGAUUAGUGGCAGACGGGUGAGUAACGCGUGAGCAACCUACCUCUUACAAAGGGAUAGCCUCGGGAAACCGUGAUUAAUACCAUAUGACACAUUCAUAAGGCAUCUUAAGAAUGUUAAAGCUACGGCGGUAAGAGAUGGGCUCGCGUCCCAUUAGCUAGUUGGUGAGGUAACGGCCCACCAAGGCGACGAUGGGUAACCGGCCUGAGAGGGUGAACGGUCACAUUGGAACUGAGACACGGUCCAAACUCCUACGGGAGGCAGCAGUGGGGAAUAUUGCACAAUGGAGGGAACUCUGAUGCAGCGACGCCGCGUGAGCGAUGAAGGAAUUCGUUUCGUAAAGCUCUGUUCUAUGGGAAGAAAAGAACUGUACCAGAGGAGAAAGCCCCGGCUAAAUACGUG